rnacentral:rRNA from 1 species
AUGUCUAGUCAGUCCUUGGUUUUAAAGGUGCUCUGCAUUUAUGUUUUGCGGUCUCAGAAAGGGCUAGCGAGGUACCAUCCUGUUAUAUCAUAUUAUGAUUGUUUUGAGAAAGUGUUGUCAUCUGAGUUUUAUUAUUAUGGCUCGCUAGUUGAUUAUGCUAUUGAUAUGAGUAAACUUGAGACCUAUGCAUUAUUGCAAAUGUGGUUAGUUAUAAUCUUUGCCGAAACCCUGAAUGCUGGCUUUACAUAUUUACAACAACAAGAGCAAACAGAGUUUGUAAAAGUUUUUCUUUAUCACUUUCAGUUUGUCAACUGA